CAGUGUUUAAAACCCUUUUCAUCUCCAAUUAAAAGCCUACUCUGCAGCAGCAAUAGACGCAAAGUUGCUUCAUCUUCCUUUUUUCUUUUUUUGUUUUAAAACAACAGAGGGAAGAAAGAGGGAUCUGCUAGGCCUUCUUUAAAGCCCUAACUACCGCCACGCCACCGCCUUUCAAGCUUCGCCGCCGACUCCGAUUCAGGUAAGUUUCGCCCUUUCCUUUUUUGCCUUUUCUUUUGCACCAAAAACAGAGAAGCAAAGAGAAAAAAAAUAAAAUAAAUAAAACACAAAGAAAAUUACCUUCAAAAAUUGUUUUUGAUUAUUUGUUUGUAUUUCAGUAUUUUUCCAAUACAAUAUUUUUCUCUUUUUAGUACCCAAUCCCCCUUUUCUUUGUGAUCGAUUUUGGCUUUUUAAAACCGAUCUAUAAAACAUUCAUUUCCUAUUUUUUGUUUUCGUUCUUUUGUUUAUUCUUUUCCCCAUUCCUCGCAUGCUUCCUUUUGCUGUUGUUUUUGUCUCUGUUGCAGGUGUGUCCGGUGUGGGUGGUGCACGUGAUGGCCAAGGGCAGAGGUAGCAUGGGGCGACUGAUCAGAGGCGUGCAUGCGUGAGGGGAGGUGAAGCGGCGGCAGCUACAAAGCAUGAGGCUAGGGUUUUUUUGUUUGGUUGAAAACUAGUAUAGUUUGGGCCAUUCGGGCCUCUAAGGUUUUUAUCAUUAUUAGGCAUUUGGAUUGGGUUUGUUUUUUGGGUUAAUUUUGUUGUAAUGGUCUGUUAAUUUUUAUUAGUCUUGGUCCAUUUGGGUUUUAUGGUCUGGGCCUGGGCAAAAAUGGGCUUUUACAGCUGCCCCUCUUUGCUCAUUUUCGUGUAACGAGAAUAGAGCAAAGACAUCAAAAGGGCCAAUUUUGCCCGGCCUUGCCGAGUCUUGACUUUUUGGUGCUCAUCUUUUUUAAGUAGCCUUAUUCCAGCCUGCUACGUCUUGUUGCUUCGAUCCACUCUACUGCAACUUCAGAUACGCCUUGUAGCUUCAAUCUACUCUGCUACGACUCCAUGGGGAUGAGAUUUGUGUUUUUAGUGUGCUCCACUACUAUUUAGGGAGAUAAGACUGGAUGUGAUCUGCUCCACUACUACUUAGGGAGAUAAGACUGUAAUCUUCAAUCUAUUCCACUGCCAAAUACAGGGAGAUAGAGUUAUCAGCUUCAAUGUACUCCACUGUAGUUACAGGAAGGUAAAAUCUGCCAUCUUCGAUCUACUCCACCACUAGUAUGGGAAGACAAGAUCUGUAUCUUGGAUCCACUUCCUAUCAAUAUAGGAAGAUAGGACCUGCUAUCUUCGAUCUACUUCACGCCAAUACAUGAAGACAAGAUCUGCUUUCUGCGAUCUACUUCGCCACCAAUAUGGGAAGACAAGAUCUGCAUCUUCGACCCACUUCCUAUCAAUAUAGGAAGAUAGGACCUGCUAUCUUCGAUCUACCUCACGCCAAUACAUGAAGACAAGAUCUGCUUUCUGCGAUCUACUUCGCCACCAAUAUGGGAAGACAAGAUCUGCAUCUUGGAUCCACUUCCUAUCAAUAUAAGAAGAUAGGACCUGCUAUCUUCGAUCUACUUCACGCCAAUACAUGAAGACAAGAUCUGCUUUCUGCGAUCUACUUCGCCACCAAUAUGGGAAGACAAGAUCUGCGUCGUCGAUCCACUUCCAAUCAUUAUAGAAAGAUAGGACCUGUUAUCUUUGAUCUACUUCACGCCAAUACAUGAAGACAAGAUCUACUUUCUGCGAUCUACUUCGCCACCAAUAUGGGAAAACAAGAUCUGCAUCUUGGAUCCACUUCCUAUCAAUAUAGAAAGAUAGGACCUGCUACCUUCGAUCUACUUCACGCCAAUACAUGAAGACAAGAUUUGCUUUCUUCGAUCUACUUCGCCACCAAUAUGGGAAGACAAGAUCUGCAUCUUCGAUCCACUUCCUACCAAUAUAGGAAGAUAGGACCUGCUACUUUCGAUCUACUUCACGCCAAUACAUGAAGACAAGAUCUGCUUUCUUCGAUCUACUUCGCCACCAAUAUGGGAAGACAAGAUCUGCAUCUUCGAUCUACUUCGCCACCAAUAUGGGAAGACAAGAUCUGCAUCUUCGAUCCAUUUCCUACCAAUAUAGGAAAACCGGAUCAGCUAUCUUCGACCUACUUCACGCCAAUACAUGAAGACAAGAUCUGCUUUCUUCGAUCUACUUCGCCACCAAUAUGGGAAGACAAGAUCUGCAUCUUCGAUCUACUUCGCCACCAAUAUGGGAAGACAAUAUCUGCAUCUUCGAUCCACUUCCUACCAAUAUAGGAAAACCGGAUCAGCUAUCUUCGACCUACUUCACGUCAAUACAUGAAGACAAGAUCUACUUUCUUCGAUCUACUUCUUGUCCCGGGAGAUAGAACUAUCAGCUUCAAUGUACUCCACUGUGGUCAGGGAGGUAAAAUCUGCCAUCUUUUGAUCUGCUUCGCUGCCAAAUACAGGAAGGCAAGAUCUGCAAUCUUCAAUCUAUUCCACUGCCAAAUACAGGGAGAUAGAGUUAUCGGCUUCAAUGUACUCCACUGUAGUCACAUGGAGGUAAAAUCUGCCAUAUUUGAUCUUCAAUCUAUUCCACUGCCAAAUGCAGGGAGAUAGAGUUAUCGGCUUCAAUAUACUCCACUGUAAUCAGGGAGGUAAAAUCUGCCAUCUUUGAUCUGCUUCGCUGUCAAAUUCAGGAAGGCAAGAUCUGCAAUCUUCAAUCUGCUCUGCUACAAACGAGAGAGGCAAGGUUUGUCUUUGAUUUUUACUGAUCUGUUCUCUAGGGAACAUGACCUGUAUAAUGAACCUAAUUAUGCCUAAUGAUUAGGAUGGCAUGAUCAGAAUGGAUCAAAUGUUCCUAACUAGAUGUGCGUGAAUGACAUUUGAAUGAAUGCAGAAUGUCAUGAAAAUGAUUCCUUAAUGCUUAGGUUGUCAUUCCUCAUUGUUCAUCAAGGUUCUAUCACUGAUGCCUUCUUGUUCAGCCAGUACCUUUGAUAGAAAACCUAAAGAAAUAGACGCUAUUUAGACUAUCAUUUCUCAAAUGUUUCCAACCCUUAGGUUUGGUUAGUUCUAAACAAUAGUCUUGUUUCAGGUCCUCGUAUUAUUUAGAAACUUUCAGAGUAAUAUGCAGAACUCCUUCUGCCUGUGUAUUGUCAGUCCAUUAAUCGUUAUUUCAAUGAAAAAUGCUUGAAAAAGAUUAUCAAAAUGGACAAAAUGAAAUUUUGUUGAGAGCAAAGCUCUUAAACAAACAAAUCAAUCAAGAUAGCAAAUUUUGCUGAGAUACGAGAUGAAUAAGAUGAAAAAGAUUAUCACAAUGGAUAAGACGAAAAUUUGUUGAGAGCAAAGCUCUAAAUGAACAAAUUAAUCAAGAUAGCAAAUUUUGCUAAAGUACAGAACGAGGAUAAAUUAAUCAAGAUGAUGUAUUUUGUCAAAAAUACAAAAAAUGAAUAAAAUGGAAAUAGGUGCCCCAGAUAUCGUAGCAUGAGCUUCUCUGCCCCAAACUUCUUAAGGACCCUUUUGAACUUGAUAUGUGUUUAGAAGUCCUAGAAGGCUUUGUUGAUGCCCCAUCUUUGAUCGAAAACUACUUUAUGCCUCAUCUUUGAUCGAAAAUUUGAAUUGCCCAUUCCUGGGUUUUCAAUUCAAAACCCCUUUGGUCUCAAGGUGCCCUUUGCGGGUUUUCGCCUUGGCCUCUCCUUUUUUUUUUUAGGCAAAGUACCUCUUCACUGAAUCCGAAUUCACAGGAUUGGGCAAGCUUUUGCCAUCCAUCCCAGUUAAAAUUAAUGCCCCUCCUGAAAAGGCCUUUUUUACUACAUAAGGUCCCUCCCAGUUUGGCAUCCACUUUCCUCUGAAGUCUUUUUGUAUGGGAAGGAUCUUCUUCAGUACCAAAUCCCCUUCAUGGAAGUUUCUAGGACGAACUUUCUUAUUGUAAGCUCGCAUCAUUUGUUUCUGGUACAUUUGACCAUGACGGAUAGCUCUUAACCUCCUUUCUUCAAUCAAGUUCAGCUGAUCAUAUCGGGAUUGGACCCAUUCUGCUUCGUCUAACUUUAGUUCUGAAAAAACUCGGAGGGAGGGAAUUUUAACCUCAAUUGGUAGCACUGCCUCCAUUCCAUAAACCAAAGAGAAUGGUGUUGCCCCGGUAGAAGUCCUGACGGACGUUCGAUAAGCAUAGAGGGCGAAUGGCAACUUCUCGUGCCAAUCUCUAUAGGUCUCAGUCAUUUUCUCCACAAUCCUUUUGAUAUUUUUAUUGGCUGCCUCCACCGCACCAUUCAUCUUUGGACGGUAUGGUGAUGAGUUGUGGUGCUUGAUAUUGAAUUGACUACAAACCUCUACUAUCGUGCUAUUAUUCAAAUUUAAUGCGUUGUCAGAUAUAAUCCUUUCGGGCAUUCCAUACCGACAUAUGAUUUCCUUUUUUAAAAACCUGCUGACAGCUGCCUUUGUGACGUUCGCGUAAGAAGUAGCCUCUACCCACUUAGUAAAGUAGUCAAUCACUACAAAAAUGAAACGAUGUCCGUUUGAAGCCUUUGGCGAUAUCAGCCCAAUGACGUCCAUGCCCCACAUGGAGAAAGGCCAUGGGGAAGUCAUGACGUGAAGAGGUGAUGGAGGCACAUGGAUUUUGUCUCCGUAAAUCUGGCAUUUAUGGCACUUCUUAGCAUAUUUGAUGCAGUCUCCUUCCAUGGUAGACCAAUAAUAUCCAAAUCUCAUGAUUUGUCUGGCCAUUGUGAAACCGUUAGCGUGUGUUCCACAAAUACCAUCAUGGACUUCUUCCAAGAUCUGUUUGGCCUCCACAGCGUCCACACAUCUUAACAGCACCUGAUCUUUUCCUCCUUUGUACAGGAUCUCUCCAUCUAAGACGUAAUCACUGGCCAGCCUCCUCAACAUUCUCUUGUCAUUCUCAGUUGCUUGGUUUGGGUAUUCACGAUUUUUCACGUAUCGCAAUAUGUCCUGGUACCAAGGGUUGUCGUCCUUUUCUUCUUCCUUGUCAAUGUUACAACAGUGGGCUGGAGCAUCAUAAAUGCUCAUUUGGAUAGGUUUCACAUCCUCUGGUCUAUUUACUUUGAUCAUGGAAGCUAAUGUAGCUAAAGCGUCAGCCAUCUGAUUCUCGUCUCGUGGGAGGUAACAAAAAGUGAUGUCGUCAAACUCCUCAAUCAAUUCUAGGACUAUCAUUCGGAAACUAAUCAACUUAGGGUCUCUUGUUUCCCAUUCGCCUUUGAGCUGAUAAAUUACCAAUGCCGAAUCCCCACAUACCUCAAGUACCUUGAUUUUGCGUUCCAUAGCCGCACGGAUUCCCAUUAUACAUGCUUCAUAUUUCGCCAUGUUAUUUGCGUAAUCAAAAUCUAGUUUACUGGUGAAAGGAUAAUGAUCACCGUUUGGAGAUACCAAGACUGCCCCAAUCCCGUUGCCCAUGGCAUUUGAGGCUCCGUCAAAAUUUAAUUUCCAAGUAUUGCCUUCUUGUGUGCUUGCUUCAGUAGUUGCCACAUACAUCAGAUCCUCAUUUGGGAAAUCAAAGUUCAAAGGCUCAUAAUCGUCCAGGGUUCUACUUGCUAGAAAAUCUGCUAUCGCGCUCCCUUUUACAGCCUUUUGAUUCACAUAGGUUAUGUCAAAUUCAGAUAGUAGAAUUUGCCAUCGGGCCAUCCUUCCGUUUAGAGCAGUUGACUCCAUCAUGUAUUUCAGAAGGUCUAACUUUGAGAUUAACCAAGUCGUAUGGUACAACAUGUAUUGUUUCAAUCUCCGAGUAGUCCAAACCAAUGCGCAACAUAAUUUUUCAAUUGGCGAAUAUCUCGUUUCGUAUUCAGUGAACUUCUUACUGAGAUAAUAGAUCGCUCUUUCCUUUCGUCCUGACUCAUCAUGUUGGCCGAGCACGCACCCCAUAGAAUUCUCAAAUACUGCCAAGUAUAGUAUCAGUGGCUUGUCAGGGCAAGGUGGCAUCAGUACUGGGGCGUUGGACAAGUAAUGUUUAACUCUUUCGAAAGUUUUCUGGCACUCUUUAUCCCAUACACCUGGAUUGUGUUUCCUACGAAGACGGAAUAUGGGGUCACAUUUCUUAGUUAAUUGUGAAAUGAAUCGAGCGAUGUAAUUUAGUCUUCCUAGGAAACCCCGAACUUCUUUUUGAGUACUUGGCGGAGAUAAUUCUUGUAUGGCCUUAACUUUGUCUGGGUCAAUUUCAAUUCCUUUUUCGCUGACUAAGAAUCCUAGCAAUUUUCCUGAUCUAGCCCCGAAAGUACACUUGGCUGGGUUAAGUUUUAGCUGGAACUUCCUUAACCUUAGAAACAGUUUUCUCAGAACUUGCACGUGUUCCCCUUCUGUUCUGGAUUUUGCGAUCAUAUCAUCAACAUAAACUUCUAUCUCUUUAUGCAUCAUAUCAUGGAAUAAUGCUACCAUGGCUCUCUGAUACGUUGCUCCCGCAUUUUUCAAUCCAAAAGGCAUCACUUUAUAACAAAACGUCCCCCACAUCGUUAUGAAUGUGGUAUUCUCCCUGUCUUCAGAAAGCAUCUUAAUUUGGUUGUACCCGGAGAAACCAUCCAUGAAAGAGAACAGUGAGUAUCCGGCCGUGUUGUCUACCAAGGUAUCGAUAUGAGGCAGUGGGAAAUUAUCUUUUGGGCUGGCUUUGUUCAAGUCUCUGUAGUCCACACACAUUCGCACCUUCCCAUCUUUCUUAGGAACAGAGACUAUAUUGGCUACCCAUUCUGAGUACUUGACCACCUGUAAGAAACCAGCAUCAAAUUGCUUCUUAACUUCUUCCUUUAUUUUUAGCAAGACAUCAGGCCUCAUCCUUCGGAGCUUUUGUUGGACUGGUUUGCAUUCUUCUUUUAUAGGCAAUCGGUGUACCACGAUAUCAGUACUUAACCCUGGCAUAUCUUGGUAGGACCACGCGAAGACAUCUUUAAACUCUUGAAGCAACUCAACAAGGUCUUGCCUUGUUUCCUUGGCAAUGCAAGCGCCAAUUUUUACCUCUCUGCCCUCUUCUAAGAUCACAACUUCUACUGAUUCCUUAUAGGGUAGAAUUUGUUUUUCUUCUUCUUCCAUCAUUCUUAACAAAUCCGGAGAUAAAACGCUGUCUUGGUCACCUUCAAAAUCUUGAGGAUCAUCUAUACUCAUGUCUUGCUCAAAUAGGGACUCUGAAUUAGUAACAGAGUCACUCAUCUCGUUGAUAUCUGAAGACCUGUUAUUGGAACAAAUGGAGGCCCAAAUAAAAGGAUCUAAGAAUACUUGUAUGCAUAUUAUGAUUAUAAAGGGAAUGAAAAGAAUGAAAGAAUAUUUGCUCAAGAUGAAACUGAAUGAUAAGUUUUCACUGAAAUUAGAUUUUGGACAUGUGCCUUUUACAAAAGAUUCUUAUCACCCCCAGGCUUAGGGCAACACGUGUUCUGAAUAUUACUCUAGAUUAGCUCUAAAAAUACAGGGAUCUCUUCCACAGUCCCAUUGUUCAAAACACUCCUAAAUAUGCAAAAGUUUGGAGACUUUUAUUCCUCAGUUCCCUUUUCGGAUAUAUCAUUGAAAUUCCUCGAUAUUCCUUUCAGGCUUUUGACUUGUUCAAGGCAUUACAACUCUUUGCUCAUUAUCGUGUAACGUAAAGAUGCCUAGUCAUUUGACUUUUGUCGGUUUCCAAGUUAACUGGGAUAAUUUUACCUAAUUAGGGUCCUUUUAGGGAAAGUCUAAUGCAAAAUAAAGCAAUGCAAUGCAAAUGCAUGAAAUGAAUGCAAAAGAAAGGAAGGCGUUGAUUCUAAAUUUAAUUCUAUUAGAAUAAUUUUUCUAAAAAAUAGAUUUUUUUACAUGAAAAUAGUUUACAUAUGUGGUAUUGCCCUUCAUAGUCCAAGUAAACGCUGAUAUUUUCUUCAUGGUUAAACCCUGUAAAUUCUCCAAAAGAUGCAUUUGCUAGCUCCUUACUGCUUAAUCUGAGCCUCGAUCUCUUGCUCGCUUAUCUUCAAGAUACUCAUCAAAAAGUGCCAGCUCUUGGAUAAUCUUCGUUGGCAAUUAAAUCAAGUCAUGUAUUCCUUCGUGGACUUCCGGCUUUCUCUCGUCAUGCCUUCGUUGGCUUGAAUCUCUAGAAAUUACAUUAUGUAUUCCUCCGUGAACUACCAGCUUUCUCUCAUCGUGUUUACUCAGACUAUAUUCAGACGACCGCACUAUAAUCCACUUUAUCAAGAAAUUCGCUUCCUUAUGACAAACUAUUCUAUUUAGGAAUCGAAUUUCGAAUCAACACAUUCUUUUCUUUGAUGUAAUGCAAAUACAUGAAUGCAAAAAAAAAGGAAGACAUUGAUUCUGAAUUUAAUUUCAUUGGAACAACUUUUCUAGAAAACAAAUUCCUUUACAUAAAACGGACUACAUACACGGUCUUUCUCUCAUAUUCCAAGUGAAGACACCUUUCUUCCUCUUCAUAUCUGGAUCUUAUGGUCGAGUCUGACGAAUUCUCCAAGAGAUGUCUAUAUUAACUCCUUUUUUGCUUGAUCCAGGCUGCGACUCGUUGCUCACUUAUUUCUAUGAUACUUUUCAGCUCUUUUAAGAAAGUCAAGACAUGACAGCUCUCGAAUAAUCUUUGUUAGUUUCUGUCUUUAGGCAAUGAAGCAAAGUCUUGUAUUUCUUCACGGACUAUCAGCCUUCUUUCAUGUAUUCACUUGGACCAUAUUUAGACAACCGUGUUAUAAUCCACUUUAUCAAAAAAAAUUGUUUUCUUAUGACAAACUGUUCUAUUUAGCAAUCAAAUAUGAAUCAACACCUCCUUCCUAGGAUGAUGUAAUACAAUGCAAUUAUAAACAAAAAAAACAAAACACGUUAGUGCAGAAUAAAUAACAAAUAAAGCAAUUCGGGUGACCACUAGGGGUUUGGAGUGGCUCUACGUAGGGUAGGCUCCUAGGUCUCUCUAUAUGUGGUUUGGUUCUUGAGUAAGGGUACCUGAACCAACAGAUUCCUCGAUCCUCACCCAUUAUAGGCUCAUAUGGACCGAGUUCAGUUCAGGGGAAUACAUUUCCCUAUGGCCAUGCGGAGAUGAAAAUCUCACGAAGACAUAGGUACGGAUGUAUCCCGGAAGCGAUUCACUAUCCCAUGCGGAGGUGAAAACCUCACGAAGGCGUAGUUUCUCACUCCCACUAAAAAGGGUAUGACCAGCGGUCAUGCAAUGUAAUGUGCGAAGGUAUAAAAUAAAAUACAGAACACGAUAAAAAAUAUAACUCAGAACAAAAGAGAUGCAAUGAGAGGAUCGUAAAUUUAAAUCGAAUUUUCAACUUUCGACAAAAGACAAGAAAUAAUCAACACGUGGCUUGACUCUCUUAUUGUCCCCAGUGGAGUCGCCAAGCUGUUGACACCAUUUUUUUGUUAAAAAACGGGGUCGACUUGGAUUUUGAAAAAAAGAAUGAAAACGGGAGUCGCCACCAAUCCUUUUUUGAUGAGGUGUGAUCAGGUCACCUCAAAAAGUGGUUGUUUUUAAUAAAUGAUUUAAUUUUAUUAAAACAACGAUUUUGGUCUACGAAAUUUAGAAAAAUGAGUUCGGGAAUCGGUUACGCACGAGGAAGGAUUAGCACCCUCGACACGCCCAAAAUUGGUACCUUAGUUGAUUACAUAAUGUCUUAAUGUCGAAAAUUGAGAAUUUUGAAAAUUUUUAAAAAUUUUUACGAUCCUUAUAUUAAAACAUAAAAAAAAAUUCAGGAAAAGGGACAUAUUUCACGUUAUCUGAGAAAAAAAGAAUCAUAUCCAGUAAGUUAGGACACAAUGUCUCGAAUUCCCGAUAUCGUUUAAAACUCGAAUUUGAAAAGAUUCAUGUAAUAAAGUUUAAAAGAAUAUUCAAUUGUUUAAAUCAAAUAAAGAAAUCGCAACCCAAUACGUUAGGGCACAAUUUCUCAAAAUAUUAAACAUUGAAUAUUGCAUUUAUUUCGAAAAAUCCUUGUCUCGAGAAAGCAACGUGUCACAUCCAAUGCGUUAGGACACAACAUAUUAAAUUCUUGAUAACGAGCUUUUUAUCAUUUUUUUAAAGAGUAAUCUCGAUUAUUUAAAUUCAACGAAGAAAGUCGGAACCCAAUGCAUUAGGGCUCGAUUCUCUCGAAGAUCUAAAUAUCGAAUAUUACUUUUAUUUUAAAAUUUCAUUUUUGGCCAAUCCGAUUGAAAAGAUACGAUGUGACAACAAUGAUGAUAAUGUAAGUAAAAUAACACGAGCAAAACAUAAGAUAAAUAAAUAAUAAAACGAAGAAAACAAUCAAAAAGGCACAAUAACAAAUAAUAAACAAAUAAAAACUAAAACAUGAAUAACAAGCAUUUAAACAAAUAAAUAAAUGAACAAAAUGAUCCAAAAAAAAAUUAUGAAAAGUUAAAAGACAUAUAUAUAUGUACAAAAUUAUGAAAAUAUAAAAAAAAAACAUAUGUGUGUACACAUGAAUUAUAAACCAUAGAAAUAUCAUAAGAAAAUAUAAAUUUUUAAAAUAUAAGAGUAUGUAUAAAUACAUAUAUGCAUAUUUAUGAAAAAUAAAAGAGAUACAUGUAAGUACGUAUAUACAUAAAAAAUUUAAAAUGCAAAUAUAAAUAUAUUCAUGUAUAUAAGAAUAAUAAUAAAAGGCGUAUAUAUAUGCAUGUGAAUAUUAAGUAUGUACAUAUGAAUGUAUAUAAUAUAUAUAUAAACUAUAUAUAUAAAAAAAAUAUGGUAAUGAAAUAUAUACGCACUAUAUAUAUUUAAAACAUUUAGAAAUAAAAAUAUACACAUACAUUAUAAAGUACACAUGCGUGUAUGUAUGUAAGUAUAAUAAAAAAAUAAUAAUAGUAAUAAUAAUAAUAAUAAUAAUAACUAUAUUAAUAAAAUAAACUAAAAACUUAAAAUGAAAGAUUAUGGAUUAAAUUGAAAAUAAUUGAAGUUUCAGGGGCAAAUCUGAAACAAACAAAACACCAAUGAAUCGAAUGGAACAUGCAGUUAACAGUGGAGGACCGAAAGUCAAAUUAAUCCCUCCGUCCAAAACUCCACGCAGCAAUGGAUUAAAAUAAAACAAAUUCGACAUUUCAUGGCAAAAUUUGAAAACAAACCGCAAUGAUUUUGAACUGAUGGGAUAAAAUGAAGGAUUAAAACGCAAAUAACCCAUCAGUGUUUAAAACCCUUUUCAUCUCCAAUUAAAAGCCUACUCUGCAGCAGCAAUAGACGCAAAGUUGCUUCAUCUUCCUUUUUUCUUUUUUUGUUUUAAAACAACAGAGGGAAGAAAGAGGGAUCUGCUAGGCCUUCUUUAAAGCCCUAACUACCGCCACGCCACCGCCUUUCAAGCUUCGCCGCCGAUUCCGAUUCAGGUAAGUUUCGCCCUUUCCUUUUUUGCCUUUUCUUUUGCACCAAAAACAGAGAAGCAAAGAGAAAAAAAAAUAAAAUAAAUAAAACACAAAGAAAAUUACCUUCAAAAAUUGUUUUUGAUUCUUUGUUUGUAUUUCAGUAUUUUUCCAAUACAAUAUUUUUCUCUUUUUAGUACCCAAUCCCCCUUUUCUUUGUGAUCGAUUUUGGCUUUUUAAAACCGAUCUAUAAAACAUUCAUUUCCUAUUUUUUGUUUUCGUUCUUUUGUUUAUUCUUUUCCCCAUUCCUCGCAUGCUUCCUUUUGCUGUUGUUUUUGUCUCUGUUGCAGGUGUGUCCGGUGGGGGUGGUGCACGUGAUGGCCAAGGGCAGAGGUAGCAUGGGGCGACUGAUCAGAGGCGUGCAUGCGUGAGGGGAGGUGAAGCGGCGGCAGCUACAAAGCAUGAGGCUAGGGUUUUUUUGUUUGGUUGAAAACUAGUAUAGUUUGGGCCAUUCGGGCCUCUAAGGUUUUUAUCAUUAUUGGGCAUUUGGAUUGGGUCUGUUUUUUGGGUUAAUUUUGUUGUAAUGGUCUGUUAAUUUUUAUUAGUCUUGGUCCAUUUGGGUUUUAUGGUCUGGGCCCGGGCAAAAAUGGGCUUUUACACUAAAUAAUAAAAAAUGUUAUUUUGAAAACUUACAUUAAUCCUGAAAAUGUAAGAUUACUUAAACCCAACAGUAGCAUAAACUAAUACUGAUUGCAAUUCCGUUUACUCUUUGUUUGAUGGUUCUCCUAAGGCCUGUAGAA
rnacentral:lncRNA from 1 species